AAAUUAAAAUAAAUAGGUUGGGGUAAGGACAUCAUCAUCCCCCAAAAAGAUUUUAAAAAUAAUGAAAAUUGGUAUAUGAAUUAAUUAAAAUACAACAGAAGUCAAAUUAAAAGUCAACCAACCAAACUUGGUCAAAAAUAAAUCCAAAAUAAAUUGAAAAUGUGACAUAAAAUUCCAAGAAAAUGUCAGGUUGACCAUGAGAUAGUGGUAAACCUUCAUCCCAAAAAUCAAAUGUUAACAAUA
rnacentral:lncRNA from 1 species